CCCUCUCCCACCCACACACCCAUACGCACCCUCGAAUCUAGAAGACAGGAAUUGGAGAGCGUGGCCCCAGCUCCUUACCCUCCUGUGCGAAGUGGCGUCCAGACGUGUGAUGGUAAAGACAACCUUUUUCAAAUCCCCUUGGCCAUGUGACUACAUUCUGGCUAAUGAGAUGGCAGCAGAAGCGGGAUGUGGGACUUCUAGGAAGUCUCCUUCCUAGGAGGGAAAGAGGGAAAAAAAACAUCUUUCAUUUUGAAAAAGAUGUUCUUAUUCAAGGAAGUCUGGCUGUGGAACUGGUCUCAAAGACCCCCCAGCACCCAAGGCAUGUGUGGCGUAGGACACAACUGGGAGUCACAGAGCAAGGUACCGUGUUGGCAAAGAUUUUGAAGUCUGACAACACAACUGGGAAAAAAGAGAACCUUCAUAUACCGCAGAGGAGAAUGGAAAUUGGUUUGACUGUUCCGGAGUGCAAUUUGUUAACACCUUAUAGAGCUAAAAAUGCACCAGUUCAUCAAACCAGACAUGCCACUUCUAGGUAGAAACUGUCUCAAGAUCCUCAAAUUCUCUGAAUAAAAAACCGAGUGUUAACAUUCCAACCUGUUGAGGAUCAAUAUUUUUGUAAAAUACAGUAAAAACAUAAAACAAAUAAAACAUAAACAUAGACAAAAUAG